rnacentral:rRNA from 1 species
UACGUAGGGUGCGAGCGUUGUCCGGAAUUAUUGGGCGUAAAGAGCUUGUAGGCGGUUUGUCGCGUCUGCUGUGAAAUCUCAAGGCUCAACCUUGAGCUUGCAGUGGGGUACGGGCAGACUAGAGUGUGGUAGGGGAGACUGGAAUUCCUGGUGUAGCGGUGAAAUGCGCAGAUAUCAGGAGGAACACCGAUGGCGAAGGCGGCUCACUGGACCAUAACUGACGCUGAUGCACGAAAGCUAGGGGAGCAAACAGG